rnacentral:piRNA from 1 species
UGACCACAUGCCUCUGACCUUCCGUGA